UAUUCCCCACUGCUGCCUCCCGUAGGAGUCUGGACCGUGUCUCAGUUCCAAUGUGGGGGACCUUCCUCUCAGAACCCCUAGCCAUCGUCGACUUGGUGGGCCGUUACCUCACCAACUAUCUAAUGGCACGCAAGCCAAUCCGCAUUCAAUGAAUCUCUUAAACAAAGGUCAUGCGGCCUCUGUUGUUACGGGGUAUUACGCGACGUUUCCAUCGACUAUCCCCCAGAUGCGGGCAUGUUGCUCACGCGUUACUCACCCUUUCGCCGGUCGCCGCCAAAGUAUUGCUACUCCGCGAUGCCCCUCGACUUGCAUGUGUUAAGCCUGCCGCCAGCGUUCAUCCUGAGCCAA
rnacentral:rRNA from 1 species